rnacentral:rRNA from 1 species
UGCGUAGGCGGUUGCGUGUGUCAGAUGUGAAAGCCCGGGGCUCAACCCCGGGACUGCAUUUGAAACUGCGUGACUUGAGUAUCGGAGAGGUAUGUGGAAUUCUUAGUGUAGCGGUGAAAUGCGUAGAUAUUAAGAAGAACACCGGCGGCGAAAGCGGCAUACUGGACGAAUACUGACGCUGAGGCACGAAAGCCAGGGGAGCGAAGA